rnacentral:misc_RNA from 2 species
AACGCACCUUGCACUCCUUGGUAUUCCGAGGAGUAUGCCUGUUUGAGUGUCAUGAAAUUAUCAACUUCAUAGUUUUAUUACUCUGAAGCUUGGAUUUGGAAGCUUGCUGGCUCUCAAGCCGGCUCUUCUUAAAUGUAUUAGCUGCUUGUCCGUGGGUUGGCUCAGAGUGUGAUAAGUAUCUACACUUGGUGGCUGCUCGCUUGGAUGUGGCUUCUAACCGUCUUCGGACAAUUCCUUAAGAUCUGACCUCAAAUCAGGUAGGACUACCCGCUGAACUUAA